ensembl:lncRNA
AUGCGCCCACUAUUAUCAGUUAUGCAUGCCAAAGCACAUGAAUGGAGUUGUGAGACAACUGAGAUGCUGAAAGUGGAAAGUGAGAGCUUUGCGAGUCUGCAGACUGAGCUUAAUGUCAGUGAUGAGGACAUUCAGCAGUGGGUCAGUGAUGUCCAGCAGUGGGCCACAGGAGGAGGAGCAGAUCCUAGUGAUGGAGGUCAAGCAACACUGGCAAUCACUGAAGGAAGCUGAAUGUUCCCUGAGGGAUCUCUCAAUUCAAAUUCAAAAUAACAGUGAGCCAUAAUAAAAUUCAAUAACCAAUGAAUUGCUGAAAUUAA